rnacentral:hammerhead_ribozyme from 1 species
AUCCAGCUGGCGAGUCUUGAAUAGGACGAAACGUGCGUCUUGGAU